UAGAAUGAAACAACACACAUCAAGAACCCAAGAAGCCCAAUAAGAAAAGCAAAAGAGAGAGGAAUCGAAGAGUUGGUGAUAGCAAAGACCGAUGAUCACGAGGUCUGCAGAGGCGAUAGGAGAGAGGAGCGCAGCACUUAUCAGUUGAACCAAGUCUGCAUCAGUGAAGAGGAGAGCGCGGGGCUAGUGUCACGAAGCGAGAGAAUUCUGUUCCUUAUUUGUCUAUCCAAAAGGCGGUAGAUUGAAUCCGGAGAUCGAAAGAUGUUGCGAUGGAUCCUUGCAUUCCUCUCUGUCCAGGGAUGAAACCGCAGCGCAAAGAGCAAGCUUCCCACAGAUGCCAAGCAAAGGAGCAGUCAAAGAAGAGAUGAUUCCUGCUUUCAGCACUAGAGUUGCAUAGAACACAAGACGGGUCUGUUUGCU